AUUCAUAAAAUAUUAUAUUUACUAUAUUAUGUUUAUGUUAUAUAUUAAUCAGGUUUGAAAGACAUACUCAACUCCAAUCACUAAAGCAUAAACUACAGAAAAGACAUGAGCCACAAAAUCAAUGAAGACAAAGCUUUACUGAAAGCACCAAAUCAAGGCAGAGAAGGAGAGAUGAUCAUCCAGCUGUUUGCUAAGACUUUUCACUGACUUGUGAGAGAAAAGCAACCACAUGUGUGGGCCCAAGGAUGCCUGUGUAUUUCUGGAAAACCUCGUGGAUAUGAGAGGAGUGACGAACCUCCAGGUCAGAUUUUCUUUAUUAGUUAUUUCAUUUAUCAUCAGCAAUAAUAUAGUCACAUGAUAGCAAAACUCUGAUGCUGCUGAAGAAUAAUGGGUAAGUCUCCUUUGGGAAUCUUUUUUGGGAAAUUUGUUUCCUAACCACAACAUCUUUUCCUUGAGAUGCUGGAUAUUGCUGAU
rnacentral:lncRNA from 12 species